GACGAACGCUGGCGGCGUGCUUAACACAUGCAAGUCGAACGGUAAGGCCUUUCGGGGUACACGAGUGGCGAACGGGUGAGUAACACGUGGGUGAUCUGCCCUGCACUUCGGGAUAAGCCCGGGAAACUGGGUCUAAUACCGGAUAGGACUGCGCGGUGCAUGCCGUGUGGUGGAAAGAUUUAUCGGUGCAGGAUGGGCCCGCGGCCCAUCAGGUUGUUGGUGGGGUAAUGGCCUACCAAGGCGACGACGGGUAGCCGGCCUGAGAGGGCGACCGGCCACACUGGGACUGAGACACGGCCCAGACUCCUACGGGAGGCAGCAGUGGGGAAUAUUGCACAAUGGGCGCAAGCCUGAUGCAGCGACGCCGCGUGAGGGAUGACGGCCUUCGGGUUGUAAACCUCUUUCAGCAGGGACGAAGCGUGAGUGACGGUACCUGCAGAAGAAGCACCGGCCAACUACGUG
rnacentral:rRNA from 1 species